UACGUAGGGGGCGAGCGUUGUUCGGAAUUACUGGGCGUAAAGGGCGCGUAGGCGGUUGGAUAAGUCAGCUGUGAAAACCACGGGCUUAACUCGUGGCCUGCAGUUGAGACUGUCUGGCUUGAGUGUGGGAGAGGAGAGUGGAAUUCCUGGUGUAGCGGUGAAAUGCGUAGAUAUCAGGAGGAACACCGGUGGCGAAGGUGGCUCUCUGGACCACAACUGACGCUGAGGCGCGAAAGCUAGGGGAGCAAACAGG
rnacentral:rRNA from 1 species